rnacentral:rRNA from 1 species
AAUCAACGCUGGCGGCGUGCCUCAGACAUGCAAGUCGAACGAUUAAGACUUCCUUCGGGAAGUGCAUAAAGUGGCGCACGGGUGAGUAACACGUAAGUAAUCUACCUUCGAGUGGGGAAU